AAGAUGUUCAGUGGCCCAUCUGAGAGCGUGCUGGCUGUUCUUGUCCUUGUCUAUAGCAACUGCAACCAACCCAUUUCCUCCUGGCUUGGGCUGAUGGUGAUGGUGAUGAUGAUGAUGAUGAUGCGAAUGCCCUUGCGGUUAAUACCCUUUUCCCGGAGCAUCUCCAUUGUUGGGUCUUUCUAUCUUUCAGAUCAAAUGAUAAUUAAACGCGGGAUUAUACCAAAUAGUUGGUGGGCGAAAUAGGGCGAGAAUAUGUACCACAGAAAAGGAGAAGUUAGGCUGCUCUCCGAUCGGCCGGCCUCUCGGCGCGUAUUUAGACGAAGACAUGCAAAGAAUAGAGGGUGGCGAGGAGAGAUUCUGGAGUUCAACCAUGAUUUACGGCGAAGCCCAAGCCUCUGUUGGUUUUCGGUUUGCUACAAUUACGGACGCUCACCCAACUAUUUAUAUCAUAAAUUCCUAAAAAAUUGAGGCUUUCAAGUUCA